UGUAUAUAUAUUUAUUUCAAAGUCUGCCAGUAUCUAUAUUUAUGUACAGUUCAAUAAAUGUAUUAUUUGAUUUGUAAAAGGAUAUUUGCUUGUUUCUGAAUACUAAAUAUUUAUUUCAACUGUUUUAUAUUGUUAUGUUAUGAUUUAUCUGUCGUGAAUGAUUAUUGUUUAAAUUAACUAAUUGAAAGUACUUGUGAUACGUUUUUGUUACAAAAUUUAAAACUGAAUAUAAAAAUCUAGUUACACUGUCAAGUUUUACUACGUUUUUAAAAUUCGACGUUUCAACUUUGUUUUGAACAAAAAUGUCCCGUUAUUUUGAAAACUAGGUUUUACUAGGUUUGUGAGCUAGUACGCUCUUACCACCUUUUGCUACGUAUAUAGUAUAUGUACGUAAAGACCCACUUUUUCACCGUGCAUUGAUACGUUUCGAUACGUAGUAAGCACGUUUUGUUGCGUUCCACUAAGCUUUGAUACGUAUUUAGUAAUACAAGGUUUCUACUUCGUUUCAAUUUGCUCUACGUUUGUUGUUGAAUUUUCAAACCAAAGGGAACAG
rnacentral:lncRNA from 1 species